ACAGACUCAGUGGGUCCUGUUCGUUAUGCACCUGUCCUGACUCUUGCACCGUGCCAGGCCCCUUGCAUUCAUUGUAUCUGAUGCUCACAGCAAUCCUGAGAUUACGAGGAAGGUGAAGGUGGUUAAGGGGGUGCCGCUCUGGGAGCAGAAGGCAGCCACUGGGGCAGAUCGGUGGAGCUACGUUACGGAGAUCCGGGAUGGUCAGUGAGGAUGCUGGGCCUCACCUGGUCUCACUGUUUCUACCCCGCCCCCCCCAUCAACUUGAUCUGUUUGCCCCCAAUCCCACCAUUUUGGAUGACAUUAUGGAUCUUCUGAUCUUUAACAAAUCCGUCCAAGAGUGUCUGUUUCUUCUUCUAAGGUGUCACCAGAAAUGAAGAUUCUUUCACCUGAUUUAUUUUUUCUGG